CCUACGGGAGGCUGCAGUGGGGAAUAUUGGACAAUGGGGGCAACCCUGAUCCAGCCAUGCCGCGUGUGUGAAGAAGGCCCUCGGGUUGUAAAGCACUUUCAGUGAGGAAGAACGCCUGGUGGUUAAUACCCAUCAGGAAAGACAUCACUCACAGAAGAAGCACCGGCUAACUCCGUGCCAGCAGCCGCGGUAAUACGGAGGGUGCGAGCGUUAAUCGGAAUUACUGGGCGUAAAGCGCGCGUAGGUGGCUUGAUAAGCCGGUUGUGAAAGCCCCGGGCUCAACCUGGGAACGGCAUCCGGAACUGUCAAGCUAGAGUGCAGGAGAGGAAGGUAGAAUUCCCGGUGUAGCGGUGAAAUGCGUAGAGAUCGGGAGGAAUACCAGUGGCGAAGGCGGCCUUCUGGACUGACACUGCCACUGAGGUGCGAAAGCGUGGGUAGCAAACAGGAUUAGAUAUCCCAGUAGUC
rnacentral:rRNA from 1 species